rnacentral:lncRNA from 1 species
AUUUAUACCAAGUCUUAUUUUUUUCAUUUUUGUCAGAGCUGUUGAUGUAACGUUCGAUACAAAACUGAGUAAACGUGCGGUUAAUACAAAAUGUCAGCGGAUAUUUGAUUUGAACAAGAGAAGAAAGCAUUAUUUACGCAGAAACGUGUUUUUUUUAAAGUCUUCUGAUAUUUCAAGUCAACUAAACGGAAACAUAACGGUUUUCUGUAUUGCACAUGUAUUUUAUGCUGUGUACAAUUUCUGAAUAUUUCCAUCUCUUGUAUGCACCAACAUAUGUCUAUUAUAAGAUAUGUUUU